rnacentral:rRNA from 1 species
GAGUUUGAUCAUGGCUCAGAUUGAACGCUGGCGGCAUGCCUUACACAUGCAAGUCGAACGGCAGCACGGGAGCUUGCUCCUGGUGGCGAGUGGCGAACGGGUGAGUAAUGCAUCGGAACGUAUCCUGGAGUGGGGGAUAACGUAGCGAAAGUUACGCUAAUACCGCAUAUUCUGUGAGCAGGAAAGCGGGGGACCUUCGGGCCUCGCGCUCUUGGAGCGGCCGAUGUCGGAUUAGCUAGUUGGUGAGGUAAAGGCUCACCAAGGCGACGAUCCGUAGCAGGUCUGAGAGGAUGAUCUGCCACACUGGAACUGAGACACGGUCCAGACUCCUACGGGAGGCAGCAGUGGGAAUUUUGGACAAUGGGGGCAACCCUGAUCCAGCCAUGCCGCGUGAGUGAAGAAGGCCUCGGUUG